GCUUUGGUGGUAUAGUGGUUAGAGCAUUUGUCUCAGAAGCAGGUGGUGGCAGGUUCAAACCCCAGCCAAGUCA